GAGAACUGAAGUAAGGUGUCGGAGAGGAGACAUAAUGAGAAUUUCUGGCACCAUCCACAUGACAGGAGGGGGCUGAGAGAAGCUCGCUGAGACAUCUCUGGGGUCCAAGAUAUAACGGAUCUCUCUGUCCAGAGAAGUGGCUGUACUAGACUGAAACCUGCA